GGGGGUGUAGCUCAGCUGGGAGAGCGCGUCCUUCGCAAGGACGAGGCCAGGGGUUCGACUCCCCUCACCUCCACCA
rnacentral:tRNA from 1 species